UAAUUUACCAAUUUUGCAGUUGAGGACACUCAGAAACACGCUUCACAGUCACACGGCGCGGUCUUCUUCUGUUCUUCGCCACCCAACUCACUUCAAUGGCGGAGGACCCAGCAAGCAAGCAACCCCUUGUUCACCAUCAUCACCAGUACUAGCAACAUUAUUGGCAAGGCGAAAUUGAAAGGCAUGCUUCUUCAGCCGAAAUUGAAUCAUUUUCUUAACGAAAUCGGUUUUUUAUCGGGUUUUGGCGGAGUAUUUCAAGCACUCUGCAUUCGUCCACAUCUGGAUUCGCAUUCUACUGAUACAUGUCGACGGCGAUUGGAACUGCUCCUUUUUUGGAUAUCGGAAGACAGAUUCGGAGGGGGUUGGGGAGGCUGCAAUCAGAUAGGGUCAGGAACUCUGUUAAACCAACUUAAGAAUUAAAUUAUUUACGUUUGUUCUUUAGUGCAAGCAAUCUGCAAGAAGGUGUGGAAGGGAAAUCCUAUUGCUACCACCAUGAAAAAUGUUUCAAGAGGUCUUGCUGCUCUUACUGUUCCAUUUACCAUGAGCUUUCCAAAAAGGGCAAAGGCAAAGAUGUCACUUUGAGGAUAAAUAUUUCUCUAUCCCCGUUCAUUGCCCCAUACUCUCUAUCUCUCUUCUAUUUUGAUAAGUGACAUGAGGAUAGAGAUGAAGGGAGGGGCAAUGAAACCGGAAUGGAAGUUGUUCUCAAAUUUGAGGGGAGGUCUACAUUGAGCCCGGGUCAGCACCUCUAUCUCCAAAGUUAUUAGCUACCACGUUCGCUGGAUGCUUCACCCUACUACAACAAUACAACCACCACUGAUUAUGAGAUGAGAUACCCCUGAUGUCAAUUUGAAAAGUAACAUCUGCAUCACUUCCGAUAAUUGGAAGCUGCAUUGUUCAAUGUUGGGAUAAACAGGCUGUUGUAGAACUUUUUUUUAUCUGUUAAUUUAUAUAUAAAUUUAUUACUCAGA